rnacentral:rRNA from 1 species
UGGGGAAUAUUGCGCAAUGGGGGAAACCCUGACGCAGCGACGCCGUGUGAGGGAAGAAGGCCUUCGGGUCGUAAACCUCUGUCGGGAGGGAAGAACCGCCAGGUUCCGAACAGGAACCUGGCCUGACGGUACCUCUAGAGGAAGCGCCGGCUAACUCCGUGCCAGCAGCCGCGGUAAUACGGAGGGCGCAAGCGUUAAUCGGAAUCACUGGGCGUAAAGCGCACGUAGGCGGCGAGAUAAGUCGGGCGUGAAAGCCCUCGGCCCAACCGGGGAAUUGCGUUCGAUACUGUUUGGCUUGAGUCCUGGAGAGGGUGGCGGAAUUCCGGGUGUAGGAGUGAAAUCCGUAGAUAUCCGGAGGAACACCGGUGGCGAAGGCGGCCACCUGGACAGGUACUGACGCUGAGGUGCGAAAGCGUGGGGAGCAAACA